CGGAGGAGAAGGGAUGCAGACAGUGAACUGUCUCUCUCUCGUGCCCCACUUCUGCGGAAGGACCGUCCCAGUUGUCAUGUGUAUGGAGUCCCGUGUGAUGCAGAUCCUGUGUAUGCAGGAUGGUGACACAUUGACAAUGCAGAGAGAGUGUACAAAAUCCUGUCAAGCUAUUGCAAGCUACUAUGCUGCACAUUUGGACUUCUGAAAAUGUACUGAAUAUUUGACAAACUGUUUGCAACAUUUUGAUAAAUUCAUAUCUGUUUUCAGCUGCCCAGUGUUUGCUUCUGAAUGUUCACUCAGACAAAUCAAACUAUCUUUUUUUUUAUUAUGGUGUUCACUGCUGUACACGGCACAAUGGUUGAAUGAAUGCAAAGGAGUAUCAUUGUAGAAGUACAAAUCCUCUUUUUUUAACAAGUUGAAUUGGGCCAGAUCUGACAAUACUUUUUGCCUGUAAAAGUAUGGUGAGAAAUGUUUUUGUAUUUAACUAUUAAGUCAUUGCACUGGUCUUUAAUAUGUGGUACUAGUUAAGAUUUGUGAUUGUGCUGAACUGUUGCUGUUGCCUGCAUGAUUGUAUUUAUUCACUUGUGCCCCUUGAUGUUUUAUUACAUAUGGUACUUCAAGAGCUGUUUACUAUGGAAGUUAUAUCUUUUUGGUAUUUAAAAAGUUAAUGCCAUAUUGGAAUUUUUAAAAGAAGCACAAUCGGCCUUGGCUAGAAAAUAAACUUUGCACAAGUUUCAAACGAAUUUUCAUGACAACUACAAGAUUGUUCAUUUGAUGUUUUUUAAUUGAGCAUUUUUUCCAUAGCCAAUGAAUACAUUAUACAUUAUUAUUAUUAUUAGUAGUAGUAGUAGUAGUAGUAGUAUUAGUAGUAGUAUUAACAACGGUCAUAUAAAUGUGGUAUGGACUGUUCUGGUUGAGUUGGAAUACACCACUAUGUCAGACCAGUGGACCAGUGUGGUGAUGUUGAGAUGUACUGGGGGAACUGGAGUAAACUGAGCUAGUGCAGUCUUGCAGACUGUGGAGGUUGAAGGAACAAGGGAGGGUAACAUAGGUGAAUUUAGUCAGGAAACUGAGGCAGGCUUGUUGGAUUCUCCACAGGUCAGACCAACUAACUGGUUUAUUGAGUAUGUUCUCCCAUGCUGUCCAUCACCGCUGGAAUCCUGGAGAACCAGCCCUGAUCCUGUACCUCUAUUCCUCCACCCUUGCCACCUCUGCCUUUUAGCACUUUUGUUGUUUUAAUUUUUUAUUUUUAUAAAUGCCAUUUAUAAUGACAAAAAUGUCAAUGAAUGUGGUAAAAAAAAAAAAAAAUUAAAAAAAUAUUUUUGCCGAAU
ensembl:lncRNA